ACGGGGCCCGCGACAAGCGGUGGAGUAUGUGGUUUAAUUCGAUGCAACGCGAAGAACCUUACCUGGUCUUGACAUCCCGGAGACCCUUAGGGAACUAGGGGUGCUUCCAUCUGGAAGAAUCUGGAGACAGGUGCUGCAUGGCUGUCGUCAGCUCGUGUCGUGAGAUGUUGGGUUAAGUCCCGCAACGAGCGCAACCCUUGCCUUUAGUUGCCAGCAGUUCGGCUGGGCACUCUAAAGGGACUGCCGGUGUUAAACCGGAGGAAGGUGGGGAUGACGUCAAGUCCUCAUGGCCUUUAUGACCAGGGCUACACACGUACUACAAUGGCCGAUACAAAGGGCAGCGACACUGCGAGGUGAAGCCAAUCCCGUAAAAUCGGUCUCAGUCCGGAUUGGAGUCUGCAACUCGACUCCAUGAAGUUGGAAUCGCUAGUAAUCGUGGAUCAGCAUGCCACGGUGAAUACGUUCCCGGGCCUU
rnacentral:rRNA from 1 species